rnacentral:rRNA from 1 species
GGUUGAUCCUGCCAGUAGUCAUAUGCUUGUCUCAAAGAUUAAGCCAUGCAUGUCUAAGUAUAAAUCUUUAUAUGGUGAAACUGCGAAUGGCUCAUUAAAUCAGUUAUAAUUUAUUUGAUAGUACCUUACUACUUGGAUAACCGUGGUAAUUCUAGAGCUAAUACAUGCGUUAAGGCCUGACUUUUUGGAGGGCUGUAUUUAUUAGGUAAAAACCAAUGCUAGCAAUAGCUUACUGGUGAUUCAUAAUAACUUCUCGGAUCGUAUGACCUUGUGUCGACGACGUAUCAUUCAAA